AUACGGAGGGUGCAGGCGUUACUCGGAAUCACUGGGCGUAAAGCGCGCGCAGGCGGUCUUUUAAGUUGGAUGUGAAAGCCUACAGCUCAACUGUAGAACUGCAUCCAAAACUAUUAGACUAGAGUCUGGGAGGGGAAGAUGGAAUUAGUUGUGUAGGGGUAAAAUCCGUAGAGAUAACUAGGAAUACCAAAAGCGAAGGCGAUCUUCUGGAACACUACUGACGCUGAGGCGCGAAGGCGUGGGGAGCAAACAGGAUUAGAAACCCCAGUAGUCC
rnacentral:rRNA from 1 species